rnacentral:tRNA from 1 species
GCCCUCGUAGCUCAGCGGAUAGAGCUGCGGACUUCUAAUCCGUAGGUCGCAGGUUCGAGUCCUGCCGGGGGCG